GGUGAAACGGGACCUGAUGGAGGAGACAAAGGACACCCAUACACCGCAUCUGGGGAGAUGAUUCCAGAGAGCCCUGAGAGGCAAAGCUUCUACUUACCCACAGGGUGCUACAUCAGGUGUCCUUCAUUCUGAAUGCACAGGAGAGUCACCUGGGGAGGAUUUUCAGACGCCAGGGCCCUACUCUGACCAACAAAAUCAGAUUUAGGAAGAGGCCGGAGUAUCAGGAAUUUUAAAAAGCUCCUGAGGGGAGCCCAGUGAGUAGCCAGGGUUGAGAACCACUUUGCUAGAGGAAGCUGAUCUGAGAAACAAGCGGAGGUGACGGUGGGGAAGAAGGAGCUUGAAUCUCUCCCUGGUCUACCAGCAGGUUUGGGGAACAGGGGCCUGGACCUGCAGGCAGACAUUUUGCCACCACCUGAAGCAGGGGAUAAACCCAACAUGGAAGACUGUGGAGCUGAGAUACGGAGAAGAGACAAAUCUUGAUGACAUGAUUUGAGACAUUCCUGAAGGCGAAAAGAACUUUCUUAUUAAAAGGAAGAAUUUCAUGUUAAGGUGCUGCGGCUUACAUAACGAUUUUGGAUUGGGAGAUACGCUAGAAAAUAGUUCCAUUGCAGAGGAUGGUAAACAUCCGCCCGAGAGAAGAGAUGAUUCAUUUCGUGGGAGCAGUGCCAAGGGUGUGUGCUUAGAGUCCAGUUUUUCCAGACGAACAUCAUGUUGUAAAAGUCCUAGGGCUUCAGCCUCCGCUCAGGGACAUUUAUUGCUGGAGUUUUCUCAGAAAACUGUCUUCUUUCCAUUGCCACCGCCUCAAAGAAACUUAAAGGGGAGACGCUGCUCCGUGUGGUUUCCUUUUUUGUAACCCUUUUUUUUAAGGGAAGAUCAGACUCCAAGUGACUGUAGUAGCCUUGCGAUUUUUAUUCUGUUUAUUUAUUUAAUAAACUUUCCAGUAUAUUUUCAUGUGCCUAUUAUUCUGGGCCUUAUUGCCCUCUCUGUCCCCCAAGUUUGUUUGGAAUUUACUCUUCCAUUUCUGCCCUUGGUAGAAUAGGUAGAAAAAGGCUAUGAAAUUACGUACAAGGAAAGACAUAUGCCCAACUCACGACUGGGAAUUUUAACCGACUACACACAUAUAAACUAAGGUGCAUGAUAAUAUAUAAGAAAGGAUGAUCGAUAUUGCAUAGAGACAAACACUUUAGGUACCCAAGACGUGGUUCAUGUUUCCCACUUGGAUCUCCUGCAUCCGUUCAUUCAUUGAUUCGUUCAUUCGUGACCUAUUGUAAGUAAGUAAGACCAGCAUGGUCCCCGCCUUCACAGAGCUCUUGGAUGCUGACUAUGUAGACCUACCCUCCACUGAGGAAGUGAUGAUGCGUUAUCCAGAUGAAAGGGUGGGGAUGGAGGUGAGGGCAGAGCAAAGGACAGUAAAAUGCAGGGGGAGCUCUCCAGGCAGAGGGAAGACCAUAGGCAAAGGCGCUGGGAUGGGAGGCAGGAUGUAUGUGUGAGGGGCUGGAGGGCCAGCAGGUGGGAGGGGGUGCUAUUAGACAUGGCUGGAGUGGGCAGGGACCCACGCAUGCUGGCCGUGGUGGGAUUUGGAGUUUUAUCCUAAGAGCAAAGGGAAUUUGCUGA
ensembl:lncRNA